rnacentral:sRNA from 1 species
UAUUCUGCCCUACAGGGAAGGAUGAGAAGCUUCGACCAAGGUUCGACUCGAGCGAACCGAGAGAACGUUGCCGCAGGCAACGGCCCGAAGGGCGAGGCGCUUUAGCGCCGAGUAAUCCUUCCCCCACCACCA